rnacentral:rRNA from 1 species
GCCUGCAUCAGCUCUGCCGUAGACACUAACGCGCCCGAUCUCGUCCGAUCUCGGAAGCUAAGCAGGGUCGGGCCUGGUUAGUACUUGGAUGGGAGACCGCCUGGGAAUACCAGGUGCUGUAAGCC